rnacentral:lncRNA from 10 species
CCUCCUGCCUUAGCAUCCCAAGUAGCUGGAACUACAGGCACAUGCCAUCAUAUCCAGCUAAUUUUUUAUUUCCUGUAGAGAUGGGGGUCUCACUAUGUUGCCCAGGGUGGUUUAGAACUCCUGGCCUCAAGUGAUCCUCUCCACCUCAGCCUGGGAUUAUAGGCGUGAGCCACUGUGCCCAGCAUUAGUUUAUUUGUAAUGCUUUUUUACAUCCUAGAUGAGCACAAUGCCUGGACUCCCCACCCGGCCCUGUUUUUAUGAUAUUGAUUUGGACCCUGAAACAGAACAGGUGAAUGGAUUAUUCUAAACAGAUCACCAUCCAUCUUCAAGAAGCUACUUUGAAAGUCUGGCCAGUGUCUAUUCAGGCCCACUGGGAGUUAGGAAGUAUAAGUAAGCCAAGAGAAGUCAGCCCCUGCCCAGAAGAUCUGAAACUAAUAGUAGGAGUUUCCCCAGAAGUCAUUUUCAGCCUUAAUUCUCAUCAUGUAUAAAUUAACAUAAAUCAUGCAUGUCUGUUUACUUUAGUGACGUUCCACAGAAUAAAAGGAAACAAGUUUGC